CCUACGGGUGGCUGCAGUGGGGAAUAUUGGACAAUGGGGGCAACCCUGAUCCAGCCAUGCCGCGUGUGUGAAGAAGGCCCUCGGGUUGUAAAGCACUUUCAGUGAGGAAGAACGCCUGGUGGUUAAUACCCAUCAGGAAAGACAUCACUCACAGAAGAAGCACCGGCUAACUCCGUGCCAGCAGCCGCGGUAAUACGGAGGGUGCGAGCGUUAAUCGGAAUUACUGGGCGUAAAGCGCGCGUAGGUGGCUUGAUAAGCCGGUUGUGAAAGCCCCGGGCUCAACCUGGGAACGGCAUCCGGAACUGUCAAGCUAGAGUGCAGGAGAGGAAGGUAGAAUUCCCGGUGUAGCGGUGAAAUGCGUAGAGAUCGGGAGGAAUACCAGUGGCGAAGGCGGCCUUCUGGACUGAAACUGACACUGAGGUGCGAAAGCGUGGGUAGCAAACAGGAUUAGAUACCCUAGUAGUC
rnacentral:rRNA from 1 species